UACGAAGGGAGCUAGCGUUGUUCGGAAUCACUGGGCGUAAAGCGCACGUAGGCGGAUUUGUCAGUCAGGGGUGAAAUCCCGGGGCUCAACCUCGGAACUGCCUUUGAUACAGCAAGUCUUGAGUUCGAGAGAGGUGGGUGGAAUUCCUAGUGUAGAGGUGAAAUUCGUAGAUAUUAGGAAGAACACCGGUGGCGAAAGCGCUCUGCUGGACCUUAACUGACACUGAGGGACGAAAGCUAGGGGAGCGAAUGGG
rnacentral:rRNA from 1 species